rnacentral:rRNA from 1 species
UGGGGAAUUUUGCACAAUGGGGGAAACCCUGAUGCAGCGACGCCGCGUGAUUUAGAAGGCCUUCGGGUUGUAAAAAUCUUUUGUAUGGGAAGAAAAUGACAGUACCAUACGAAUAAGGACCGGCUAAUUACGUGCCAGCAGCCGCGGUAAUACGUAAGGUCCGAGCGUUGUCCGGAAUCAUUGGGCGUAAAGGGUACGUAGGCGGAUAAGCAAGUUAGAAGUGAAAUCCUAUAGCUCAACUAUAGUAAGCUUUUAAAACUGCUCAUCUUGAGGUAUGGAAGGGAAAGUGGAAUUCCUAGUGUAGCGGUGAAAUGCGCAGAUAUUAGGAGGAAUACCGGUGGCGAAGGCGAAUUUCUGGCCAUAAACUGACGCUGAGGUACGAAAGCGUGGGUAGCAAACAGG